rnacentral:misc_RNA from 1 species
GAUGAAUAGAAACAAAAACUUGUGUGAAAUUAAAUACGAAUCAUUAUAUGUGAACCUUGGCCCAAAAUAUUUAAUAUAAUAGAUAUUAAUAAACCUUCAUUUGAGUUAGCUUUUAUUAUUUUGGUUUGGAAACUUGCUUCAAAAGGUGAAUUAAAAUUUGAUGAAAUUCUUUCUAUUUUUAUGAUUGUUGGCAUAAUUUUAUCAUUCAACUAUUUUUGCUAGCGU